UUUUUUGAUAUUCCAUCAUUUAGAAAUUUGAAAUUUAAAUGAAUUGAUACUAUACAAAAUCUUAAUUCUGUUUUACACCUAUAUGAUAUUUACUUCUGUAAUUCCUGAUGUUUAAAACCGCUGUUUUGCAGAACUUUAAUUCAGAAGGAGGUCCCUGGUGAAUCCUAUUUUAAUCUCUGAUGUAAAUUAACAGAAGCAAAUCAGCCUUUUCAAAAUGAUUCUGAAAAGCAAAAUACAUUUCAUUUACCUAAAUAAAUAGUAACUCGGAAGGUAUGCCGUCUGAGCGGUGUUACACUAUCUCUAAAAUUUUAAUACUUCCUGUAGCUCAUAUUGCUCUUAAUAUGUAUCAUAUUUGGAGAGGUGAGAGUUUACCUGUUUUAAUAAUUCUGAUUCUUUCAUUCUGACCUUAUUCUAUUCUUAUUAAAUGCAUCACCUUAACAGCCAAUUACUAAGUCUUAAAAAUCUACUACUGUUGUAAAAUCGGUGCACAAAAAGAUUUUGCAAACUCAAAUUUUAAGUAAUUUGAUAAGUUAGUUCUUCAUCACAUUCCUUAUAAUGCUUUAAUCUAUUUGUAAAAACUUUCUAUUUUCUGCUUAAGAGAAGGUCAAUGGCUUUCACUUCACUACUCUAACAUAAUCAUGAAUUGAAAUAAGAACUCUUAGCUCUUUGGACUGACAAAGCUACCAGUAUGUCUAAGCCAAUAAAGUGAUUCGUUCAUUAAUGCUGCUAAUAAAGCAACCUUUUGUUAGUCUAUGAAACAUCAGAAACCUCAGAGACUCUAACUUUGCAAUUUUCCCCUGUUUUUGCCAUACGAACUUGAAAGUUCUCUUACAUGUCAUUUACUUUAACAACUAAAAACAUAAUCAUUCUAGAAAUUUGACCUUCCACUCAAGGUAAUUUAAUAAUAUAUUAGUUCCAACUUCAGAAAACUGUUCCUAGAUGAAACUAUUCAUAUUUAAUAAAUAUUCUGUUUUCACAGAGCCAACUUUUGUAGAAAUCUGUGCCAUCUUCUAAACGAACCAACUAAAGGAACAACCCCAAUAAGAGUCUCAAAAUGAAGGACAGAAAUGUUCAUUUACUCAAUCAACAUUAAUCGAUCAACUACAGAAAGCAAGGCCCAUGUGCUACUGCAAAGAUUAAUACUCAAUUCCUGCCCUUGAGCAACUCACUUUAAGGAAGAAGACAAGAUCUAAAAAGAUUACUAUAACGUAGCUUAUAAUAGUUUCAACUACUAAAUAUAAUAGUUAGCUUGAAGGAUAUAAUUAAUUGAGUUUAAACAAGACAAAAAGCCUCCAAUGAGGAGAAUCUUGAGGCUAAAUAAAGGGAAGUGUAUCUUAGGCUUACUGAAUAACUUCUAUAGAAAAACAGACACACAGAAGACCACAGUAUAUUCAGAAAUUUUUAAUUAAUUUAGGAAGGCUAGACUGUAUCACACAUGUAGGGAAUCAGUAGGAAAUGUCUGUCAGUUCUUGAAGGGCCACCAAGUUUGUGUUGCUCCAGAAUUUGGAUUUUAUUCUAUGUGGUGAAUACCAUUAAAAGAUGUAUGGUGCUCAAGUUUUGUUUUGUUUUGUUUUGUUUUAGAAAGGUUACUCCUGAGAUACCAGAAUGCCCAAAAGCUUCUACUUUCAAUUAACUUCUGAAUACAAAAUGCUUUGGGCAUGCAGGUCACCCCAGAAAUACAGGUAUGCUAGGCUUUCAAAUAUGAUUCACACUCAGUAUAAUUACAUAUCUAUUAUGUACUGCUAAUUUAACUUCAGUGUUUUUAAAUUAAUUGUUAAAGAGAUAUAUCCAUCAAUAAAUAAAAUAUCAGUUCUAAUAAUAGGCACUUUAAAACCCCUUCAAAGCAUUAGAAAAACAGUUUUUAUGUAGUAUAAAGUCAUACUGUUGAUUAAUUUUAUGAGUUGCAAUUAAAGUCAACAGAUUGCAUUGAAAAUUUGUAAAAUAAGUCACAGAAUUUAGCCCACUGUAAUCUUUAGCGUAAACAUCCAAGGUACUGUCUUCUCCCUGGCACCCUUGCUUUCUGCCAAGCACCAGCACUUCUCCCCACUACCCUCCUUUCACACAUCCCACAUCCCUUGGGAACACAGUGUUCUCACAUGACCCAGGACCAUAGUGAAUUAGUCCAACGUGACCAGGCCAUAGAGUCUAUUAAUGUUUUAACUUAGGGCUCAAAAAUUAAUCACAACCUCUCUAGAUGCUGAUUAUUCUAAGAUAAAUAAUUCAUAUUGGCUCCUUCUUCAGGUUUCUCAUCAUAUGGAAAAACCAGUCCACACUGAGAAAUAUGAAAGGAGAAGUUUAUCUGCUAUAUAAUUCUGUUUAUAUUGUGCAUGUUUAAAUUUUUCCACAUUAUGUUUUUUUAUCUGAAAGUUAUGGAAACAUAAAAAGAGUGCCUAUGUUCUCACCACCAGCUUAAUAAAUAAAACCUUACCAAUAUAAUUCUCUUUCCUAUGAACCACACCCUGAGCCCAUGUUCCAUCCCCUAUCAACAACUAUCCUGAAUCCUUCUUUACUUUUAACACUUUUAAAACAGUCUCCAAAUACCAGUCUAAAUGUUGCUAUCUUGGGGAAGGUCUUUCUUGACUCAAAUUAAGUGCACUUGUUAUGUGCUUUCAUGGCUUUUAUCACAGUUAUGAUUUAUUUGCAUACUUCAUAACAAUCUCCAGUAGACUUACUGCUACCACAAAUUCAAGGAAAUCUCUGUUAAAUUCUUAGCUGACUACUAAGCUAACUGAGCAGAGACUUUAGUGGUUUCACAACAAAAAACUCAGAUUUUCCAAAAUUAGUUGAGAAAGAUCAGUUUUAAAAAAAUAACAGGAGCUCCCAUCAUGGCGCAGUGGUUAACAAAUUUGACUAGGAACCAUGAGGUUGCAGGUUCAAUCCCUGGCCUUUCUCAGUGGGUUAAAGAUCCGGCAUUGCCGUGAGCUGUGGUGUAGGGUGCAAACACGGCUCAGAUCCUGCACUGCUGUGGCUCUGGUCUACAACGUUGCCAGCCUAUGCCACAGCAACACAGGACCCGAGCUGCAUCUGCAACCUAUACCACAGCUCAUGGCAAUGCCAGAUCCUUAACCCACUGAGCGAGGCCAGGGAUCAAACUCGUGUCCUCAUAGAUACUAUGUGGGUUCC
rnacentral:lncRNA from 1 species